GGGCCAUUUGCUUAGCCUGGUUAAAGCGCAGGUCUUAUAUUCCUCAAGGCAUGGAAAUCCGGGGUUCAAAUCCCCGAUGGCCCA
rnacentral:tRNA from 1 species